GGCCCGAUGGUUUAGUGGUAUAAUUCUCGCUUAGGGUGCGAGAGGUCCCGGGUUCAAUUCUCGGUUGGGCCC
rnacentral:tRNA from 2 species